rnacentral:lncRNA from 1 species
GUAUCCAUGGCAUCUUUCGGUUAGUACUGAAAUGGGCCACGAAGGAGUACUCAAGCUGCUUGAAGAAAUUUAUGCUCUCUGACUGAAACCUAGAAUAUCAGGCUCGAGCAGCCUUCCGAAUUAUUGCUAGGAAGCCAAUACAUAGAAGGGUGUCAGAUGCCCUUUGGAUCAUCAUGAGAGUUUUAUAGCUCUUCAAAUGAUCAAUUGGGUCAGUGGAGCCAU